AACUCUUUUAUUUUAUCAUAUUUUAUGCCCCCAACUUCUACACCUUUUUUUCUAUACCUCGCAAGAUUUAAGCAAAUUAAUUAAUGUAAUUAACCCUUUGUACCUUUUGCAUCAUGGUUUUGCAACUUUCAAGCCCUAAGCUAUCCCCCGAACAUUUCUGAGCUACAAUUUCUUUGUUUAGAACCCCCUUAUUAAUGUUAAACUAUUAUAAGAAAAAAAAAUUAUAGCGGCUACAUACCUACCGCAGUUAUAAAUAGCUGGAUUUUUACUAACUCUAUUUAAGUAGAAGAAGCUAAAUUUUUCAUUUAUUCCUUUAUUAGCUAUCUUAGUAUAAAAAGGAUAAGCUUUUUAUACACUUUUUAUAUCAACAUUCUCACCCUUCAGUGUAAGCUUCAAACCAGCUAUCACAUCUAAUGCGUUAUAGCUUUUAUCCUAUAAUUGAUCCUACCCAUAUAUCUUUAAAGUAAAAUAAGUUAAUAAACUUAUAUUAACACCAAUUCUGCUAAAAACUAGUACUAGAACUUAUACUCUUACAUCUCAAGAUUUUUAUACACCCCUAUAUCUCCUUUACACUUAUUAAAGGAACUCGACAACCUUUACGUCGCCUGUUUAUCAAAAACAUCGCCUUCAGCCUAACUUUAUUGAAGGUCCGACCUGCCCAGUGAACUUUUUAACGGCCGCGGUACCCUGACCGUGCUAAGGUAGCGCAAUCCCUUGCCUUUUAAUUGAUGGCUAGUAUGAAUGGUCAGACGAGCGUAACCUUGUCUCUAAUAAGCUAAAUGUAAAUUAACCUUUAGGUGCAGAGGCCUAAACACAAAAGAAGGACAAAAAGACCCUAUCGAGCUUCAUACUUCUUUAGCCCACCACUAAAUAAAUAUUUUGUUGGGGCAACAAGGGAGCAAAUAAACCCUCCCUAUAAACUUUGGAUCUUAUCCUUUCCAACUCUCGAAUUUCAUUCAAAAUAAAUACAAGCUACCGUAGGGAUAACAGACUAAUCUCCUCCGAGAGCCCACAUUGACGAGGAGGCUUGGCACCUCGAUGUUGGCUUAGGGCCCCUUCAAGAAGCAGCCCUCUUGAAAGUAGGUUUGUUCAACCUUUAAAGCC
rnacentral:rRNA from 1 species